GAUGAACGCUGGCGGCGUGCCUAAUACAUGCAAGUCGAGCGAACAGAUAAGGAGCUUGCUCCUUUGACGUUAGCGGCGGACGGGUGAGUAACACGUGGGUAACCUACCUAUAAGACUGGAAUAACUCCGGGAAACCGGGGCUAAUGCCGGAUAACAUUUAGAACCGCAUGGUUCUAAAGUGAAAGAUGGUUUUGCUAUCACUUAUAGAUGGACCCGCGCCGUAUUAGCUAGUUGGUAAGUUAACGGCUUACCAAGGCAACGAUACGUAGCCGACCUGAGAGGGUGAUCGGCCACACUGGAACUGAGACACGGUCCAGACUCCUACGGGAGGCAGCAGUAGGGAAUCUUCCGCAAUGGGCGAAAGCCUGACGGAGCAACGCCGCGUGAGUGAUGAAGGUCUUCGGAUCGUAAAACUCUGUUAUUAGGGAAGAACAAAUGUGUAAGUAACUGUGCACGUCUUGACGGUACCUAAUCAGAAAGCCACGGCUAACUACGUG
rnacentral:rRNA from 1 species